AGAACCAGCUGAUGAAUGAUGAUCCAGCCGCCCAUCUGUCCAGCACAGACAAAGCUAUGGAAUCAGGUUUGACACAAACAGAGUUUCCAGGUAAUCUGCAUAGUCACUGAAGGACAAAAGAUCUGCUUGACUCCUGCUUCCCAGAGACCCCAGAUAAAUGGGAACUUGGGGUGCCCUGGACAAUGGUGGAAGAAAGAAGAGCCAUAGCCUACUGAGUACACUUCAUAGAUACAGAGUACACAACAUUGUGUGGGUGGCAAGGAAGACUGGGAUUAUUUGGCCAAGUUUAUUAUGUCCAGUGGUUACAACUGGAGGACCCAGUCCUAUCCUGACCCUCAAUCCUCUUAACCAAAUGCUCCAUAGAAGAGAGAAAUGUAAUGACCUUGAGACUAUAUUAAACACUGACCAACAUUCCAAUAGGCAACUUGACAUCUUUUUUUUUUUUUUUUCAGUCUUACCUCCCUAACUAUGCUGUAAGCACCUUUGUUGGAAUUCUUAGCAUAGUGCUGGUCUCAAUAAAUCAUUACUUGGAAGGCUCA
rnacentral:lncRNA from 12 species